rnacentral:lncRNA from 1 species
GAUGCCUGAAAACUAUUUAAAAAUGCUAAAGAUUCAACAGUGUGUGGUAGCCAACAAAGUACCUAGAAACAGGCCAUAUAUUUGCAAUAUUUGCUUCAAGCACUUUGAAACACCAUCAAAAUUAGCUAGGCACUAUCUCAUUCAUACUGGUCAAAAGCCAUUUGAAUGUGAUGUGUGUCAUAAAACCUUUAGACAACUAGUUCAUCUGGAGAGGCAUCAGCUAACUCAUAAUCUGCCUUUUAAAUGUAGUGUUUGUCAGCGCCACUUAAAAAAUCUGAAGACAUUUGUGAAGCACCAACAACUUCACAAUGAAACCUAUCAGAAUAAUGUUAAACAGGUCAGAAGACUGCUGGAGGCCAAACAAGAAAAGUCAACAUAUGGAGUGUAUAAUACUUUUACCAGAGGAAAGAUGGGCAUUACACCCGUGCUCUAAGUCCGAUCCCACAUAUAGCAUGAAGAGAAGAAAGAAUAUUCAUGCAUAUACAAUCUGUGGCAAGAUGUUUCCAUCACAGUCAAAACUGGAUAGGCAUGUACUUAUUCAUACUGGUCAGAGGCCUUUUAAAUGUCUCUCGUGUAGUAAAUCUUUUUGACAGUCACCUCACUUAAAAAUCCACCAACUUACACAUUCAGAAGACCUUUUCAAUGUUGUUUUUGUCAAAAAGGUUUUAAGAUUCAAAGCAAACUUCUGAAGCAUAAACAAAUCCAUACUAGGAAUAAGGCUUUUUGAGCUCUUUUAUUAAAGAAGAGGCAUACAGAAUAUUGCCCCCUGCCUAAUAAGUUAAAUGCAAAUCAGGGUGGUUUUGAAAAUGGUGAUAUUGGUGAAUCUGAGUAGAAUAAUCCACUUUAUGUCCACUCAAUUUAUAUUGUCCCUUUUCAAUAUCCAAAGUGUGAAAAUGUUUUGAAUCACAGCAGAUUCUCAAUGAACACAUGUGUUUUCCUGCUAGAGGUGGCAAAAUUCCAAGCAGGUUCAAAAGAAGCUACAACUAUAAAACCAUUGUUAAAAAAAAUAUUGGCCAAGCUUAAACGUGCUAGGAGUAAAAAAUUAGAUAACUUUUGAUCCUAGAAAAAAGUAUUUAAAAAGAGAUUCUUGAAAAAUUGUGAUCGUAUUUCUGGUGAGCCGUGCUCUGAACAAACCCAAAGAACAUUUGUGGGUUCUCUUGGCAAACAUGGAACAUAUAAAACAAUUGGCAAUAAAAAAAAACAUUGACUUUGCGAUUUUCUUGGCAAAAGCAGUUCCAGAACCAAAAUGUGGGAAAAAAAUGAAAGGUAUCCUUACUACAGCAAACUUAUUAAGCAUUGAUAAUUCAGUGAAUAAGAAAGACUUGUCAAUCUGUGGCUCAUCAGGUGAGGAAUUAUUUAAUAACUGUGAGGUACUUCAGUGUGGUUUUUCAGUUCCAAGGGAAAACAUACGUACUAGACAUAAGAUAUGUCUCUGUGACAAAUGUGAGAAGGUAUUUCCUUCUGUAUCCAAACUAAAAAGACACUAUUUAGUUCAUACUGGACAGAGGCCUUUUUGCUGUUAAUAUUUGUAGGAAAUCUUUUAGACAGUCAGCUCACUUAAAAAGACAUGAACAGAUUCAUAAUGAAAAGAGUCCUUAUGCAUCCCUUUGCCAAGUAGAAUUUGGAAACUUGAACAAUCUUUCUAAUCAUCCACGUAAUAAUGUUAACUAUAAUGAUUCCCAACAAUGUCAGGCUCCUGGUGUUCAAAAAUACGAGGUCUCAGAGUCAGAUCAAAUGUCAGGAGUUAAGGCAGACUCACAGGAUUUUAUUCCUGGUAGCACCAGGCAGCCCUGUCUUCCUAAUGUACUUUUGGAAUCAGAGCAAAGCCAUCCUUUUUGCAGUUAUUCAGAACAUCAGGAGAAAAAUGAUGUCUUCCUGUACCGACGCAGUGUUUGUGCUAGGAGUUUCUGAUCUCCAUCUAUACUGGAAAAACACUAACUAAUUCAUGCAGGGCAGAAACUAUUUGAAUGCUCAGUUUGUGGCAAAACAUUCCGACAGGCUCCUCACUGGAAGAGACAUCAACUUACUCAAUUUAAAGAACGACCACAAGAGAAACUGGUUGCCUUGGAUUCGGUUAUGU